AGCUGAAACCUUGGACACAAAGACACAGCUAGGACCAAACCAGCCUGGCAGACAGAUGCCUAGAAGGAUAAUUCCCUGACCUCUCUCCUCCUGCUCUUGGAUCUCCUGAAGCAUCUUGCCUUUGCUGAACCCAACUAAAGCUAGGGAACUUGGUGAUGCAAUCCCUACCAGUCAACUUCCACACAAUGUAGGGAAGAAGAUUCCUAUAAAGAAGCUGAUGAGGAUUGGCGGGGACUCUUUUCACACACCCCAUGUUUCUCACAUGAAACCCACCCACAGCCUCUUUGCUCCCCAUGAAUUGACCUUUGCUGUUCCUCCUCUGAUGUGCAAAGAAAAGGUUUCUCAGAAAUGAAGGCAUGUGCAACCGUAUCCUAUUAGAAGUUAAACUCCAGUAGCAUGAAGAUUUUAAUCUGAUUAUGCACUGGGAUAGUCCUAGAAAUCCAAUCCCUGGAUUACAAGAACUGUCUGUUGGACCAAAAGUGUGGAGCCACCUUCUAAAACAAACCUACUGAUCCCAAAAUGUUGGAGAUGCCAGAGUUGUGGGAUACCUUUCGAGGAGAGCUGUUAACAGGAGUGGAACCAGCAGUCAACACAGCUGAAAGGAGUUGGAGAUUUGAAAAGCAUUUUGACAUCAGACAUGGAGAUGCAGUUUGGAGUUUGUCCAGCUGGUUUUCAGUCUUGCUUUGGUCCAGUAUGUCUUCACUAUUCUCCCUUCUCUGCAUUUUGGAAUGGUAAUGCAUGUCCUGUGUUGGAAGUAUUCGAUCUGCUUUUUGAUUUUACAGAGGAUUACAGAUUGCAUGAAUCUCAGAAGAGAUAUUGAACUUUAGACUUUUAAAUAAGUUUGAGACUGUUAUAGAUCAUGGGGACUUUAGAAGUUGGACUGAAUGCAUUCUUUUGCAUUAUGAUACGGCUAUAAGCCCUUGAGGGCCAGGGAAUGGAAUGUGGUGGUUGGAAAGAAAAUGGCCCCCAAAUGGAGUGGUUCUAAUAAGAGGUAUGGCCUUGUUGGAGUACGUGUGGUAUUGUGGGAGGAAGUGUGUCUCUGUAGAGGCAGGCUUUGAGGUCUCAUAUCCUCUAAAGCCACACCCAGUGAGACAGACCAGUUCCUGUUGUCUGAGGGUGAAGCUACAAGAACCCUUACCGCCUUCUCCAGCACCAUGUCUGCCUACAUGUUGCCUUGCUUCCCACCAUGAUGAUAAUGGACUAAACCUCUGAGCUGGAAGCAAGC